rnacentral:misc_RNA from 1 species
GGCUGACUGAAUGAGUGCAAAAAAACUCGAAUUUUUCAUUUUCACGAGCCGCGAUGUUACAAAAACUGUGAAACUCAAAAUUCAAUAUUUUUUCUAUUAGAUUUCUGGCUUUAAUAAAUUAUUGAAAUUCGAGGAUUGUUACACUUUGUUGAUCAGAGUCGCUUUGCCGCUAUUAUUAUUCAAACGUCCGAAUCAUUUCCCGCGUCCACUAUGCGGUGCUGAAUACCUCCGCGUGCGCAUGCGAUUUCGUGCGGUGUUUCGUUGGCCCCGUUCCUCGUGUUCCUCAACGGAGUUCUGUGUUCCAAAAUUAGUAAAUAAAGAUGGCGGCAAAGUACGAGCCGUGUGCCGUAUCGGUGCUCGAAAGAUGUUUCAAAAAAUGAGACGAAAGCCGCGAAAGCAAGUAAGAAAUGUCCAAUAAAUCGGUUAAAAUUUGACAGACGUUUGAGUAGAUUAGUGAAAAACUAAGUGUCAACGGAGAACAAUAUAAAAAAAAAGUAUUCAAAAAUAUCCGGUGUAAAUAUAGUGUUGUUCGUUACAUCGUUAAAUAAAAUAAUAAUUAUUAUACGCAUACGAGAUAAUUAUCGUAAAAGAGCGGUGUACCAUCUUCUACUGCGGAGCGAAAAAGAGGAUAAUUUUGCUCCAGAGUUCACGAUAACCCAUCAAAAUGGUUGUGGGCGAGGCGAGUAUACACAAUAUUAUGGGAGGUAUGGAGAGCACAGGAGGUGUGCGUCUCCACAAUCACAAGAGAAAACUAAAACAAAGGUUCGACAUAAUAAAGAAACUGGGACAAGGAACGUACGGCAAAGUCCAAUUAGGAAUCAAUAAAGAGACUGGACAGGAAGUUGCCAUAAAAACGAUUAAGAAAUGCAAAAUUGAAACUGAGGCCGAUCUCAUAAGGAUAAGACGAGAGAUUCAAAUCAUGUCCAGUGUUCAACAUCCAAAUAUUAUUCACAUUUAUGAAGUUUUCGAGAACAAGGAGAAAAUGGUCCUCGUGAUGGAAUACGCAGCCGGGGGCGAGCUGUACGAUUACCUGAGUGAGAGGAAAGUGCUUUCUGAGCAGGAAGCUCGCAGGAUAUUUCGGCAGAUAUCGAUAGCAGUUUUUUACUGUCACAAACACAAGAUUUGUCAUCGUGAUUUGAAGCUCGAAAAUAUACUGCUGGACCAAAUCGGUAACGCGAAAAUAGCCGAUUUCGGCUUAUCCAAUGUUUUCGACGAGCAGCGCCUGCUCAACACGUUUUGCGGCAGCCCGCUUUACGCUAGUCCUGAGAUUGUCAAGGGCACACCUUACCAUGGUCCUGAAGUCGAUUGCUGGAGCUUGGGAGUUCUGCUGUACACUCUCGUUUACGGUGCGAUGCCAUUCGAUGGCUCCAAUUUCAAGAGACUCACCAGACAAAUCUCUCAAUCGGAUUAUUUUGAACCUAAAAAUCCAUCGCCGGCGUCGCCACUUAUAAAGGACAUGUUAACUAAAUGUCCGGCUCGAAGAUCCGACAUAGAAAAGAUUUGUUCCCACUGGUGGGUGAACGAGGGCUACGAACAAAAUUGUCUGGACAUAGCCGAAGAUUUGGCGGCCCAAACGCCGGUGCGUCUCGAUCUAUUAUUGUCAUUGGUGCCACAGUCGGCAAGCGCUGACAAAUUAGUCGUUGGUGACCAACGACCAACCGGAGAAGUCGUGACCGACAUGUCUUCCGAGACACUGGUGCCUACGAGGUGUCACUCAGUCGGCAGUUUGAUGGAACUCGAUCGCAACAAUUCAGACAGGAGAGUACGUGAAAUGGUCGAAGAAGAACCACGCGGGGCCUCGGCGACUGGGGACUCCAAAAGGAAACUAGAGAACACUCCCUCGAUGGACGAAACCGCUGGCCUCGAAGCCGGCGCCAAGAGGAAAGAACGCAUGAGGAAAAAGGACAAAAAUGACGAGACAAGGCCUCAUAGAUUUACUUCAAAUAGACAUCACUCAGCUCCGAUAGCUCAUCCAAUAACCGAGGAGGCAAUGGAAGUCGACCCAAGUGUCAUGGACAACGUCUCGGCGAAGCCGCUGCUGGAUCUUCGCAACGACGAGACAGCGAGUGCCUGUCUUGAGUUAAUAAAGGAAUCGCUCUCGAAGUCGCCGAGCAAAGAGAGAAGCAAAACUCCGGUAGCGAUACCGGAUAAACCGUCACCAAUGGCGUGUGAAAAUGUUCAAGACGUGAACGAAAAUGUGAACGAUGUGAAACCGUUAGGUAACAAACUCGCUGGAGUACAGGACAAGUCUCCGGAGCCAUCGAAACGGAAGGUCCCUGAAGAAGGCGCGAACAAGGUUAAGAAUGAAAUAACAUCGAAGAAAGAAGCUGAAAUUGAGGAAAAAAUCAUGAACGCUCCUGCACAAGUGCCAAACAAGGAAGAAAAUCAUGAAUUAGAGAAGGGGCAAAACGAAAAAGUUCCUAUUCCCCAAGAAAACGAGUCAGCGGAAAGUCCGAAUGUUAAAGAUGUGAAAAAGCUGAAGCAAAAAGCUCUCAGUCUCGAUUCUGAGGUAUCGAACGAAGCCGCAGUUCCACCGUCCAAACCGACUGAGAGAAGACGAUCGAAAAUCUUUGAGACUGCUGAGAAAUUCAAUCAGUUAGCAGCAGGUGUCGAAAGUGAGAAACCCAAAAAGAUUUUCAUACCCGGUGUCAACGUCGGUGGAGCUAAACGCGCUUUCGAAAGAAAAGCUAGUCUAUCCUCGAUCGUUCCUCCACAAACGGUCAAGCAAAGCGCCUCCAAAGUCAUAAUUGAUGUGCCAAACGAUACCAAGAACGAGAAACUCGAGGAUAAACCAAAUACUGUGAUGAAAACGAGUCAAGAGGUCAAAGACGAAAGUCUCAAGCGCGAGGAAGAGAAAAAGCGAGCUGUCGAUAUCAUAACGGGGGCUCUUGGAAAGCCACCGGUUCAAAAGAAACUCAACGGUUCCCCACCGAUAACACCGCAGAGCCCCGAAUCUAAAAAAUUAGGAUUGAAAAUACAGGUUGGACCCAAUGACGUCAGAUCAGCGACCGUAUCUGUCUCCACACCGGUCGAUACGAAAUUUCCAUUCGAAACAAAACCAGUGCCUUACGAGAUAUCGGUACCCAACUCCCCCGAAUCUCAGAGCUUCGAUAGCUCAUACACGGAUGAACCAACGGUGUCAAGUAAAAUGGAGAUAACAUUGAAGAGUGCAACUUUACCGAGACAGCGGAAAACGAGUAAAGCCGAGAUUACUCUCUCUGGAAUAAAGUCACCGGAGAGUGGUGCGUUCAAAAGUGAAGUGGAAGCGAAGAUUGACGCUUUUCAUCCGCAAAAAUUACGAACUCAGAGAUCCGAAGUGGCUUUCCCAGUCGCGGCUGUCGUUCCCCAAGCCAAUCGAAGUUCCAGCCUCGAACCUGAAAGCGCAGCAAAAAUGGUGCCCAAAGAAAGAAUUAUACCGAUUCAGGUCGAAGCGGAUCAUCAGCAACAACGACAAACCUCAACUCCACCACCAAAGCCACCGAUGCCACAACGUUCGAUGUCACAACGAUCGAAUUCUCUGUCGCGGCAAUCCACAGCUGAUUCGGACACUGACAGCGCUCUAGGCUCGACGAUCGGCCCUGAGCCGAUUCGUAAAAGUCCUCGAGAGUACAUUAUACCGAUAGCUGUUGAAGGCGGCGGUUACGUAACCCCGAGAUCCGGCAGUGUUGAACCGGAGAGCAAAAACAGUACUCCAACUAGUAUAAACCCACCGAGAUCGAGAUUCGGUCGGCCGAGACGCAUGAGCUCAUUGCUCUCUGAUGCUAGCGAGGACGAAUCGCCGUUUUCAACACUGCACAGGGAUAGCGACGAUCUGCUUCAGAGGCAUAUGCAUAGAUUGCGAAGUUCAAGACCGACGAGACAACCGCCCGAGCAUGCCGACAGUCUGUCGUCGGGUGAGGAUGACGAUGACGACGGUUUCGAGCUCCUGACAGCCGAGAAUUUAUUCUCGACGUUGCUGUCGCGAGUGAGAAGUCUUACCCAAAGAUUGAACGUUGACGAUAAUAGGGGUAGCGGCUUUCCUAGCAGUAGAUUGCUCGGUAGACUCGGUUCGAACUCGUCCCAAGGAUUUUGGGGGCUGCACGAACCGCUCUCCAGUCGUUCGCUUGUUUGUGCAAGCUACGAGAGCUACUUUGAAACACAGACGAUUACAACGCGACUAUCAGAGUCUCCAUUUAGGCGCUCGAUGAGCCGGGAUACCGAUUGUUUUGGGAAACGAGAUUCGGCAGUUCCGUCAAAUUCUGGAACGCCCAGCAGUCCCGGAACGAGAAGCACACCAUCGCGCGAGAGCAUUUUCGAAAUGGGAAGCAGCAAUACAUUGCCGCGAGAUAGAAAAACGCGAGAAGAGACCGAGAGCGAGGAUAGCGCGACGGAGAAAUUGAGAAAGUGCACGAAGGACUCGCUGGAGCAUAAUUUUACACCGAGUCUCGCGAGGAGACUGAGCCGACAGUUUAUCGAACAGACGAGACAGUCGCUGCCAAGGUCGCCGUCGAUACCGCGGGAGAAACUGUUCAGGUCGUCGACCGACGAGAGGGCAAAGGAAAACGGUCCUUACGGCGCCGCCGUCUCCGAUCAGACCGAGUACCGGAGUCGGUCUUGCGACCGCGGGGUCAGACGGACCAACAGCCUCCUCGAGAGCAGCGUCGACAGAUUCGAGCAGCGCUCUCCGAGGCGAAGCGUCAGCCUCUUCGACGACGAGGACGAGGAGGAGGACGGCUCGCUGCUCGUGUCCGGCUCGUUGCCGCGGCAGGUGAUGACACUCGGCAGAAAAUACAGAGACCCGAGCAAGUCCGGGUUGGGCAGCUUCCACAGUUACCGGACGGACAAAAUCCAGGAGGAGCCGCACGACGAGUUUUCUCACACGCCGAAUAAUCAAAGCCCCGACGAGUUGAAAGAGGGCGCCCGCUACGACGGGAGCUCGAGGAACAACUCGCGCACGAAUCUCCUCGCCGAGAACGGCUCGAGCCUUUCGGCAAGGUCCUGCGAAACUUCGCCCACCGAAUCGUCCUCCACCCUCGGCGACUCUGCUCUCUCGACCUACAAGCAGGACUCGUCCUCGCGCGAUUUCGAGAGCAGGCUCCUCGCAGCCGAAAAUUUGAUAAAAGAAUCGAAAGCCCGGAACCUCGGAGCUGGCAAAUACGACCGGAAUUUGUCCUCCAGCUACAAGGACACGGACAAGUGCGACAAGGAACUGCUCGGCUCGAUCGUUGACGUCUCCAACAAUUACGCCAAGAGGCGAAGCUGCAUACCGAGCCUGAGACUGCGCUCCGGUUCCCUCACCCGAGAAGCUCCCUCCACGAGCGAACGGAGGAACACCGUCUCGUGCGCCAAGGACUCCAGCCACUCCGCGACCCCGGAGAGGUCCAUACUCAGCAAGUUCUUCAGAGCUGGAAGCACCAACGGAGGCAGCGCAGCCAGGAGCGAAGAUUCCAAAGAAAAGUCCCCGAAGUGUAAAGAACCCCGGAGAAUCUCGAGGUUCCUGAGACCAGACUUCUUCGACACGCCGAGAGAAGAGAGCCAGUACGUCAAGGACAAAGAAGCCCAAAAGGCGGCUGAAAACGAGCGCAGGAAGUGCCGCUUCACGAGGAAGAAGCCCGAGACGAAGCCCAAUUCCGGCGACGAGAUGAACAACGAGGAGGAGAAGAAGCCGAUCGAGGACGAGGAGAGACCCGAAAAGGAACUGAAGAACGAGGCCAACGCUAUGACGCGUGACAAAAGCGACGUUUCGUCGAGCGACAAUAAAUUCGAUACGGAAAACCCGAGUUUGUCGACGAGCGAGCCGAAGACCGAGCGACAAGCCUCCAAGAGCAGCAGCUUCCUCCAAUCCCUCGAGAAGAAACUCGACAAAUUUCGUUCGAGCGACGACAGCGCCAAACUCGUAAACGGCAACGGUCCCACGAAGGAACGCGCGGCACGGGAAAAGUCUGCACCCCCCGUCGAGACGAGCGAAGACAGUUCCAAGCCGUCCAAACGGCCGACGAGCGUCGAAGACCUGACGCUUCCGGAGCCCAGCGCCGGCGCCUCGAAAAGCCGGGUCUCUUCGGUACUCGGGCUCUUCAAAAACGACUCGACGAAGCUCGGCUCCAACGGCCAACGCGCGCAGAGCACGAUACUGAGUAAAUUCAAGAAAAAUCCUUACAAAGGAUCCAGAUCCGACGGCGUACUCUCGGGCGAUCAGAGUCCCUCGACGAGCAACGGCAGCAAGAUCCCCACCAAGUUCGCCAAGCUCGAGGCCAAGACGAAGAAACCGGGAGACAGCAAAAAGUCCCCGGAGAAAACGCUCGAGCCGAAGAAAUCCCCGUCGAAAGAAAAAAGUCCGCCCCCGCAGAGGAGCGCUUCGAGAAAGUCGCUGGAGAAACAGUUGAAGGUGACGAAAAAAACGAGUCCGGAAAAAACGGUCGAAGGGAAGCAGGACAAGCCGGAAAAAUCAACGAGCUCGAAGGACGAGCUGUCGAGAAAAAACGGCUCGCCCGAAAAGAGCGAGAAUAAAAUAAUGAGCAUCGCGAGACUGUCGGGGAGGAAAACGUCGACCGAAAAGAUCACCGACAACAAACAGAUCGAAGCCAAGAGCAACGAAUCCGAGGACAAGAAGCUCAUCGUCAAGGCGAAGAAGAACGUCAAGUCGCUGACGAGCCUCGUGAAAAACGGCUCCGUCUCGAAACUCGAGGGCCGAGACAAGCUCGAAGGGCUCGAGAAAAAGGUGAAGAAAGUUGUGAAACCGAAGGAAACUGCGGACAAGGACGCGCCCGAUGGGACCAGGAAGAAAAAAGUCGUUCGCGUCGUCAAGAAAACCAGCAAAAGUUCCGACAGCUCGGACAGCAAAUCCGAGGAGAAAGAACCGACGAAAAAAACUCUGAUGAAAAAACUUACGUCCGUGACGAAAAAAGAGGCGAGCCCUGAAAAAUCAUCGAAAAAAAUAAAAGACAAAAGUCCUGAAUCGUCGGUGAAAAAAAUGGAGGAAAAGAGCCCCGAAAAAGCGGUGAACUCGGGCAAAGAAAAGAGCCCGGAAAAACAGUGCGGCGUGACCGAAGACGCGAUCCCAGAAACGAGAGCGUCAUCGAGUCCCGCGAAGAAUCCAGAGCCGAAAGUCGCCGCUGAAUCUCCGGCGAUACCUCGCCAAGAAACCCCACGGCGAUCUCCAAAAGGGGAGCUUCCGCUGUCGCCGGAAGCCGUUGCCCCGUCCUCGGAUUCAUCGGCCCCGAAACAGCCGGACGCAGCGAAUGCCGAUGCGGAUUCGAAGAGUUGUCUCCCGGGGCUGGGCACCGCGAAAUCGAACAAAGUCAAUCUGAAGCUCGAUUUAACAAAAAUCCCUCAACACUCGUUCAAGGUCGGAGCGUUGCCGAAGAAAGAUUCGCCCAAAGCAGAGUCCACGAAUUUCGGGACGAUCGUGGCGAAAAGCCCGGCCAGCGAGUCCCCCAAGUCCGUUCAAGUCGAAGCUAAAUUGAUGGAAAACUUGUCGAAGACGAGUCACCAUGCGAGCACAACCGGGGGCAAAAUCGCGAUUGACAAGCCGCUGCGAGCCAAGGAUUUCGAGACUUCGCGGAAGGAAGCGACCAGCCCCGAACCCCCGAAGAAUUCAGAGACCCCCUGCGCCCUCGGGAACGGCCCGGGGAACGGCAAAGACCCCCAGGAAGUGAGAGUCGAAGGGAAAGACUCGCUCCCCAAACCUUCGACUCCCUUGGUCAGACCAACGACCCUCCCGCUGGACUCCAAGAGCGCGGACGCCUCGUCUUCCCCUCGAGAAACAGCCUCCGAUCACACCGAAGACAUGUUUUCCCCCGUGGACGACGCGGAGUCCUUCGACUCGUGGUCCAUAUGUUCGGCGGACUUGAAUCACCAUCGCCACGAUCUGAACUCGCCGACCUCGCCGACGUACUCGCCCCUGAGCCGGGGCGAGCAUCCCGAGUCGAUAAUCGACAGGAUUCGUCGAAAGUCUUUUUACUCUCGAUUCAACGAAAGGAAGCGCAAGAGUUCGCUGAACGCCGCGCCGCCGGGAGUCGCGUUGCCGAGUCCUUCGAGCCUCCCCCGGAAGUACAGUUUCACCAGUUCCAGGGACAAACAGGAGUACAGAAAGCCUCGUAUCUACGGGGCUUCUUCGAGGAGAAACCCCGAGCGCAGUUACAGUCUUUACAACGAAGAAACGCUCCCAAGUUACAGGAAAUCCUCGCUCGAAAGGGAGCGUCAUUACAGCGACUCGGUCGCCAACGGAGCGAGCUCAUGCGCCGACUCCAAGUCCCCCAACGAGCAGUACAGCAGCUUGAGCUCGUGCUACGACCCGCUGAGACGAUAUCGCGUCACGCCGAGUCCCGACCCCUUAAAUUCUCAUCGGAAGUAUCAGAGCACCGAGUACGGCCUGGACGACGAUGGGGGAUCGUACAAAAGUCCGAUGUCGCCGACCUUCCACGACAACAAUCUCGACCCGUACGCCCCCCGCAGCUCAUUGCUCCCCCGGAAAUACGGCUCGGUUAGUUCUUGUCCCGAAAGCAAAACUGCCGAGUACUACGAAGAGUUGCUCACUCCUUCUCGCUCGGACUAUCUCACGUCGCGAAAAACUCCGGUGCCCAACGAUUUCCACUCGAGGCACGAGAACGGUUAUCACAACGGGACUCUGGAUCCUCAUCAAGCGACGAGCGACAAGUGGAAAAAUUAUUCCGACAAGAUCGACCCGCUCGAUCUCACCGACGGCAACGAUCGACGACUCGAUAAAUCGAUCAGGAGAUAUUUUAGACGUGGAAGUGAGUUUGGCUCGAAGAACUUCUACCACAUGUAAACAAGCACGAUGCAACGAUCAAUUUCCUGUCAGUUUUAUCGUUGCAGGACCAAACGGUCCAACCACCGAUACUCUCAUUCAAGGAGCAACGUCGAAGGGAAUAACGAAUCCCCGGAUCUACCAACCCCAAGUACGGAGUCAGAAGUGAAAGUCUCAAAAGUCGAAUGAAGAAGGAAGAGAUGCGAGCCUUAAUUAAAUCAAUUCGAUUAAUAAUCUUAAUAAUCAAUAUUCGAAUAGGAACUUAAUCAUAUUUUCGAUUACGAACCAUUUCCAAAAGUGACAAAAAUCUUGUGAUCGGCUAAUCAACUUCAAAUGAAUUUAUCACUCGUUCUUCCAACAAUUUCUACCCACAUGGUCUUCGAGAUUGCUAACGAAAAAAAACGAUAAUUUUAUCUAGAUGACGAUAGAAAAAUGGCAAUAAUAAUUAUAAAUAUUCAACUUCCACGAAUCUAACAAACAACAAUGUCAAUUGUAAAGUAAUAACAACCAGAUAAGACUCCGACCACUGGAUGGUAAACAGUGAAAGAGAAUUGAACACGAAAAUAAAUGAUAAAAAAUCCACCGAGACAUUCGAGUUGCCAAAUAGCAGAAGAAAAAUUAUAGAAGAAACUGACCUUCGUCGUUCUUCACUCAAAUCUCAACUUGUUGAUUCUCACAAUGUUUUUUUUCAUCACCGUACCCCACCUUCACGUUUUGAGUGUCUAUUCGUAUUUGUUCCUCCAUUUUUUUAUCUCGGAUAUAGGAGUACUAUCGAAGUCAUUUAUUUAUUUAAAAUAUUAAUCCCAAGUGAAGGUGUGUUUCCUAUAAAAUAGUGAGUGCUUUCAUCAUUAUUGUUCAUAUUAUUAUUAUUCUUAUUAUUAUGACAACUUUUUUGUGAAAUUCGAUUAAGGGAGCAUAUUUCAUUUCUUACGAUUGUCUCGUAAGCUAAAUUGAAUAUUAAAUGUUCAGUUAAAACAAUUAUCGCGGCUCCAAUUUUUAUAGAGAUAUAAAUGGUUCAUUCGGCAGCCACGUGACUUCUAUAAAGAUUUAUACACGCAUACGUCUUAUGAAAACGAUAAUAUAAAGGGUUUCUUUUUUUUUAUUAUGGACGCCAGAUUUUUUAUAAUAUAUUGUACGACUUUUGUGAACCCUCGUUGAUAUAAAAGGUUUAUUCUUACUUAGUAGAAUCAGAGACAGCGACGUGUGCUCUUAGACAAAGCUGAUCGAAUGAAAGAUUUUUGAAAAACAUUAUUUAAGAUCUUUCUCCUCGAAUACUGCUUCAGCACAUAUUCGUGGGGAUCGAGGAAUAAUGUAGUUGAUUUUUGACGACACUAUUGAAAAUCGUUUUCAAUGAUUUUCCAUUCGAUUGAUAGUCGGAUCGGUUAUUAGGAAUUUUAUAAAUAAAUUUGAAAAAAAAUAUUCGUCGCGUUGCUCGUUGCCAAGCCGUGACCAACCGCUACGAGCAGUUUCUAGUCAAUACAUUGUGCACAAUAACGAUAAAUCAAAUGGAGCAAUAUGCAACGAGCUACAUGAUUAUAUUAUUGUUCAAAUAGAUACUUAAGAAAAACCGGUUCGAAACUCCCAGAUUCACGGAUACAAAGCUUUUUAUUAGUUCCUUGUAACGAUAUUCUUGCCUUAAUAGAAUUACGUAAUAAAUUUUUAUUAAGAUGUAUGAAAAA